rnacentral:rRNA from 1 species
ACUGCUCAGUAACACGUGGCCAACCUGCCCUUGGGACGGAAACACCCCCGGGAAACUGGGGCUAAUUUCCGAUAGGUGAAGACUCCUGGAAUGGAUUUUCGCUUAAAGGGCGCCUAGGGCAUGCUCCUAGGCGUUGCCCAAGGAUGGGGCCGCGGCCGAUCAGGUUGUUGGUGAGGUAAUGGCCCACCAAGCCUUUAACCGGUACGGGCCGUGGGAGCGGUAGCCCGGAGAUGGGCACUGAGACAAGGGCCCAGGCCCUACGGGGCGCAGCAGUCGCGAAAACUUCGCAAUAAGCGAAAGCUUGACGGGGCCAUCCCGAGUGCCAUCUGCUGAGGAUGGCUUUUACCCAGUAUAGAUAGCUGGGGGAAUAAGGAGAGGGCAAGUCUGGUGUCAGCCGCCGCGGUAAUACCAGCUCUCCGAGUUGUAGGGAUGUUUAUUGGGCCUAAAGCAUCCGUAGCCGGCUGGACAAGUCCUCUGUUAAAUCCAGCGACCAAUCGUUGGUCUGCGGGGGAUACUGUCCGGCUAGGGGGCGGGAGAGGCCGUCGGUAUUCUUGGGGUAGGGGUGAAAUCCUAUAAUCCCAGGAGGACCACCAGUGGCGAAGGCUGUCGGCUAGAACGCGCCCGACGGUGAGGGAUGAAAGCUGGGGGAGCGAACCGGAUUAGAUACCCGGGUAGUCCCAGCUGUAAACGAUGCAGGCUAGGUGUUAGGGCGGCUACGUGCCGCUCUAGUGCCGCAGGGAAGCUGUUAAGCCUGCCGCCUGGGGAGUACGGCCGCAAGGCUGAAACUUAAAGGAAUUGGCGGGGGAGCAC